AUAUUUAUAUAUAUAUAGCUCAACAGAGAAUUGAAGUUAUAGCACCAAACUUCUAGUUCACAAAAAGAAAAAAAAAACAAAAAAAAAACCUUCUUUCUUAAAAAGAAUGAAAAUCUACAUGAAACCAAACAUGAAACCUUUACUUAGGUUUCUUGACUUUGGUUGUUUUUCAUCUCCGACUACAACUUCAAACAAAACUACGGAAAAGAUUGAGGUUAGAAGCAGAGCAAUAAAGUUUAAACGUGGCUUUAGAACGCCACCAAAGCCACGACCUGAUCCAGGAAGAGGUGGACAAGUUCACGCAGCUGCUGCUUAAUCAUAUUGUACAUAUGUUCGGAAUUAGAUGUCACGUUGAUGGUGUAAUUUAAACUAGUAUUAAGCCAAUAAGGUGACGAUCAAAUCAAGACGGAGGUAGUAGUUUUCUCCCAUCUCAAGUUGGAAUGAUGGACUUUGUUUGCAGUUUUUGAUAGCUAGUUAAUAAGAAACUUUCGUUUUUAGACAUUAUUGUAAAUUUUCUAUUUAUAUCUUUUAGAUGUGGCUCAUAAAAUCCUAUAGUUUUGAAUAUAAAUUUUCAGAAAAUCUUCUGAAAAAUGUAAUCCCACCCUGUAAUCCUGUAUCACCUUGGGGCUGAGGUACACAGUACAUGUUUUAAAAAAAAAUAAAAAAAAAUAAAAAGCAAAGAAUGUAUUUAUGUAUGAAAAAAUUAAAGGGAGCUUUCAUUUAAUUUCC